rnacentral:rRNA from 1 species
UGCUCGAGUGGCGAACGGGUGAGUAACACGUGGGUGAUCUGCCCUGCACUUCGGGAUAAGCUUGGGAAACUGGGUCUAAUACCGGAUAGGACCAUCGUCUAGUGUCGGUGGUGGAAAGUUUUUUCGGUGUGGGAUGAGCUCGCGGCCUAUCGGCUUGUUGGUGGGGUAAUGGCCUACCAAGGCGUCGACGGGUAGCCGGCCUGAGAGGGUGUACGGCCACAUUGGGACUGAGAUACGGCCCAG